AUUGAACGCUGGCGGCAGGCCUAACACAUGCAAGUCGAGCGGAUGAAGGGAGCUUGCUCCUGGAUUCAGCGGCGGACGGGUGAGUAAUGCCUAGGAAUCUGCCUGGUAGUGGGGGAUAACGUCCGGACACGGGCGCUAAUACCGCAUACGUCCUGAGGGAGAAAGUGGGGGAUCUUCGGACCUCACGCUAUCAGAUGAGCCUAGGUCGGAUUAGCUAGUUGGUGGGGUAAAGGCCUACCAAGGCGACGAUCCGUAACUGGUCUGAGAGGCUGAUCAGUCACACUGGAACUGAGACACGGUCCAGACUCCUACGGGAGGCAGCAGUGGGGAAUAUUGGACAAUGGGCGAAAGCCUGAUCCAGCCAUGCCGCGUGUGUGAAGAAGGUCUUCGGAUUGUAAAGCACUUUAAGUUGGGAGGAAGGGCAGUAAGUUAAUACCUUGCUGUUUUGACGUUACCAACAGAAUAAGCACCGGCUAACUUCGUG
rnacentral:rRNA from 1 species